CGAUCCGAGUAUGCGAAGAAUUGCCUGCAGCAACAAAAAUAAAUCAGCAAUCAUGAAAGGAAGGUGAGAAUUUGGGAGAAUAGAAAAUUAUGGGCACUAAAAUUGGAUCCUGCAGAUAGGUGGAUUGCUAAGAAUUCUUCAUCCUUCAAUCUUCAAGCCUUGAGGGAGAUUUCAGAAGUGAGACAGGAGAGAGAGGAAGAAGGAAGAAAGGAAGAGAAGGAAGAGAGGGAAAGGAGGAAGAAUGAUAGACGGAGA
rnacentral:lncRNA from 1 species